CCCUCUUAAAGAGGUGGUGCUGGCUCCAUCUUACUUCUCAAGUAAGAUGACGUUGUUUCUGGCACGCGACCUGUAUUCAGAAUCACUGGAAGGGGA
rnacentral:tRNA from 1 species